rnacentral:ncRNA from 1 species
CAUAUCCCCGCGGGAGAGACCGGGCCUGAUCCGUCAGGACCCGGCGCCGAAGGCGCAACCGCCCCGGAAACGCUCAGGCAAAAAGGGCCGCUGGGGAUUU